UACGUAGGGGGCAAGCGUUGUCCGGAAUCAUUGGGCGUAAAGGGCGCGUAGGCGGCCCUCUUAGUCGCGUGUGAAAUCCCCGAGCUCAACUCGGGAACUGCCCUCCAAACUGUUUGGCUUGAGUCCGGGAGAGGUGAGUGGAAUUCCCAGUGUAGCGGUGAAAUGCGUAGAUAUUGGGAGGAACACCAGUGGCGAAGGCGGCUCACUGGACCGGAACUGACGCUGAGGCGCGAAAGCGUGGGGAGCAAACAGG
rnacentral:rRNA from 1 species